rnacentral:sRNA from 1 species
GGGUAACCCAGGACAAGACAGCCAGGAGAGAGGACCCAAAGGAGAAACCGGUGACCUCGGCCCCAUGGGUGUCCCAGGGAGAGAUGGAGUACCUGGAGGACCUGGAGAAACUGGGAAGAAUGUGAGUGCCAUUAGGGCUUUGGGGGGCUCUGUGACAAUUCUUAGUGCCAUAAGAUCUGCCCAACAUGACCUGGUGCAUGGUUAGUCCACAGCUCUGCACUGGGUGAAUGUAAAAGGAUUUCUGAAACGGUCGUUACUCCAAUUUAUUUUCAUUCUUAUAAUUUCCUUGGUGCUUCAUCUCUUCUCUCUCCCCAAUUCUUGCUCUCCCCAAGAACAUACUGAACAGAUGCUUUUAAAAAUAAUAUCUUUGCUACUUUCAAAUAUCGGGCCAGGUUUGAUCCAACUAAAUAUUUAAGAAACCCAAAUGGAAAUCCUAAUACUGGGGGAGGGAGGGAAUAAGGGGCAAGAAGGCUGAGGGAGUUGUGGAUUUGUUGUUUUUGUAAUUAUCUGUGGGUUUUUGGGGGGAUGCUGCAAGUGAAAUAACAAAACUAGAUUUCUUCUUUUUCUGGCGUAUUGCAUCUUGCAAUUUCAAGACAUUUCAGAAAUGUCUGUGGCAGAAUAGCUCCUUGUAUGCCUAAUCCUCAGUCUUGUUGAAUAAAUGCUAAAGUC